rnacentral:rRNA from 1 species
UACAGAGGGUGCGAGCGUUGUUCGGAAUUAUUGGGCGUAAAGCGCUGGUAGGUGGCUUGAAAAGUCGCGUGUGAAAUCCCUCGGCUUAACCGGGGAACUGCGUCUGAUACUGGAUGGCUGGAGUUUGGGAGAGGGAUGCGGAAUUCCAGGUGUAGCGGUGAAAUGCGUAGAUAUCGGGAGGAACACCGGUGGCGAAGGCGGCGACCUGGGUAGAUACUGACGCUGAGGUGCGAAAGCGUGGGGAGCAAACAGG